rnacentral:lncRNA from 1 species
AGAGGCAACUGAGCGACUAACCCUUUCUCUUUUCACAUUGUUCUAAAGGGGAUUACGGAUGCUGCACUAUUGGCAUUAGUAGGUACACUUGCUUUAAAGACUCAAUUUUACCACAAGCUUCGAAACAGAGUCAGGAAUGGUGUACAAGUUAUGGUCCCUACCUCAUGAUUUUUUUGGUUUUCCCAAAGCCUAAUUUUUUUUUUUUUUAGAUCUGUGUACAUAAGUGAUUCUUUAUCCUGUGAAAGUAGCAUUUUAUCUCUGCGUGGGUCCCUAAUUCCUAUUUACUCAUGAGAUUUAGAAGAAAGGAGCUCAAGAAGAAUGUUAUUCAACUUGAAACCAAAUUUUUUUACUGAGAAAAUAAGGCUUGAAGCAGAAGAAAUCCCAACUGGCCUAUUUCCAUUACCUAAUUAAGGAGUUCUACUGGAACCAACACUUCUAUGCUGUCCUAUGAGACCCAGGAUAGUUUCUCCUCUGGAGGUCCCAGGGUGUGGCAUGUCUACCGCUAGAGGUGCCCGAGAUGACUUUGGGAGAGACCAUCACCAAAAAAGAGAGAGAGAGAGCAAGUUGGAAUGUAGCCUCCUUAUAAAAACUGAUGUGUUCUUACAAGAGAAAGUGUGUGAGAUGAGGUUUGUUUCAUUCCACUUAUGUAAAUGUCUUCAAUGGAACCACAUUCUAAACAUUUUCAGGAUUUUCCCAUAUAUACUUAAAUCAGAAGCUUGCCACUUUUUAUGUGAAGGAAGCUUCAGUUUCUUUUAUAAAUUUCAUGUGAGAACUGUAAUAGCCCUCUUUUACUGGCAUAAAGUCUCCAAACCUAAAUCAACAAGAGUGGUCCAGAGCCUGCUCUGUGCCUUGUCCUGUGCUAAGUGUUUGUACACUUACUUUUCAGUAAUAGCCUUUUCAACUUAAUGAAUAGAAAGUUCAAAAGUUAUUGGAAGAUGUGAUACAAUAAAAAGGAAGUAAUGUUACUUACACAGUACUCAAAAUGUAGAGUACUUAACAGAGUAUGGCAAGGCUAUAUAUUGUUACUCUGUUUAUUUCACUUAUAUGUGAAAUACUAGGCUGGAUGAAUCACAAGCUGGAAUCUAGAUUGCCAGGAGAAAUAUCAACA